UCCGACAAUAGCAAACCCGUAGCAAUAUGGGGACGCAAAGCCAUGGGUCCUGAUAAGGAUCGCCAGGCUGCCGAAG
rnacentral:ncRNA from 1 species